rnacentral:misc_RNA from 1 species
AAGUCGUAACAAGGUUUCCGUAGGUGAACCUGCGGAAGGAUCAUUAUUGAAUGAACUUGGCGUGGUUGUAGCUGGCUCUCUCGAGAGUAUGUGCACAUCCGUCAUCUUUAUCUCUCCACCUGUGCACAUUUUGUAGACUUGGUAUUUGAGAUUUUCUGGGGUAACUCUCAGUUAGACUUAGAUUUCCAGGCCUAUGUUUUUCAUAUACCCUAUAGUAUGUAACAGAAUGUAUCAAUGAGCCUUGUGCUUAUAAACUAUAUACAACUUUCAACAACGGAUCUCUUGGCUCUC